GAGGGAAAGGCGAAAAGAACCCCGGGAGGGGAGUGAAAUAGAACCUGAAACCGCAUGCAUACAAACAGUAGGAGCCUUUACGGAGGUGACUGCGUACCUUUUGCAUAAUGGGUCAGCGACUUACAUUCUGUGGCGAGCUUAACCGAAUAGGGGAGGCGCAGCGAAAGCGAGUUCGAAAUGAGCGUCCAGUCGCAGGGUGUAGACCCGAAACCAGAUGAGCUAUCCAUGGCCAGGUUGAAGGUGUGGUAACACACACUGGAGGACCGAACCGACUAGUGUUGCAAAAUUAGCGGAUGAGCUGUGGAUAGGGGUGAAAGGCCAAACAAAUCUGGAGAUAGCUGGUUCUCCCCGAAAACUAUUGAGGUAGUGCCUCGUGUGUCGCUCCAGGGGGUAGAGCACUGUUUUGGCUAGGGGGACAUGGAGUCUUACCAAACCAAGGCAAACUCCGAAUACCUGGAAGCGUGAGCACGGGAGACAGAGCACCGGGUGCUAACGUCCGGACUCAAAAGGGAAACAACCCAGACCGCCGGCUAAGGUCCCUAAUAUUUGCUAAGUGGAAAACGAAGUGGAAAGGCUAAGACAGUCAGGAAGUUGGCUUAGAAGCAGCCAUCCUUCAAAGAAAGCGUAAUAGCUCACUGGUCGAGUCCUUCUGCGCGGAAGAUGUAACGGGGCUAAGCUGUUAACCGAAGCCGCGGAUGCACUGGUAAUCCAGUGCGUGGUAGGGGAGCGUUCUGUAAGUCUGCGAAGGCGGUUCGAGAGGACUGCUGGAGAUAUCAGAAGUGCGAAUGCUGACAUGAGUAACGUUAAAGCAGGUGAAAAGCCUGCUCGCCGUAAGCCCAAGGAUUCCUGCUCUACGUUCAUCGGAGCAGGGUGAGUCGGCUCCUAAGGUCAGGCCGAAAGGCGUAGCCGAUGGGAAUCAGGUUAAUAUUCCUGAACCUGCGUCAGAUGCGAUGGGGGGACGGAGCAUGAAAGAUCAUCCGGGUGUUGGAAGUCCCGGUUGACGAGCGUAGGAGGUCUGCAGGCAAAUCCGCAGACGAUUCUCCAAGGCAAAGACACGUGCCGCCACGGCGGCGAAGUGAUCGGAAGUGCUUCCAAGAAAAGCCUCUAAGCCCCAGUCUGACGCGGACCGUACCGCAAACCGACACUGGUGGGCGAGCUGAAUAUGCUCAGGCGCUUGAGAGAACUCGGGAGAAGGAACUCGGCAAAUUGACACCGUAACUUCGGAAGAAGGUGUGCCGUAGUAGCGUGAGAGGAGAGACUCCUCGAGCGUGAAUCGGUCUCAGAGAAUAGGUGGCUGCGACUGUUUAUUAAAAACACAGCACUCUGCAAAGUCGAAAGACGACGUAUAGGGUGUGAUGCCUGCCCGGUGCUGGAAGAUUAAUUGAUGGGGUGAGAGCCCUUGAUCGAAGUCCCAGUAAACGGCGGCCGUAACUAUAACGGUCCUAAGGUAGCGAAAUUCCUUGUCGGGUAAGUUCCGACCUGCACGAAUGGCAUAACGAUGGCCACACUGUCUCCUCCCGAGACUCAGUGAAGUUGAAAUGUUUGUGAUGAUGCAAUCUACCCGCGGCUAGACGGAAAGACCCCAUGAACCUUUACUGCAGCUUUGCAUUGAACUGUGAACCGAUUUGUGUAGGAUAGGUGGGAGGCAGAGAAGAGGCCACGCCAGUGGUCUUGGAGCCGACCUUGAAAUACCACCCUGAUUUGUUUGCGGUUCUAACCACGGACAGUGAUCCUGUCUUGGGACCGUGCAUGGUAGGCAGUUUGACUGGGGCGGUCUCCUCCUAAAGGGUAACGGAGGAGUGCAAAGGUACGCUAGGUACGGUCGGAAAUCGUGCUGAUAGUGCAAUGGCAUAAGCGUGCUUGACUGCGAGACCAACAAGUCGAGCAGAUGCGAAAGCAGGUCAUAGUGAUCCGGUGGCUCUGAAUGGAAGGGCCAUCGCUCAACGGAUAAAAGGUACUCUG
rnacentral:rRNA from 1 species